UACGAAGGGGGGCUAGCGUUGCUCGGAAUUACUGGGCGUAAAGAGCUCGUAGGUGGUUUGUCGCGUUGUCCGUGAAAACUCACAACUCAAUUGUGGGCGUGCGGGCGAUACGGGCAGACUGGAGUACUGCAGGGGAGACUGGAAUUCCUGGUGUAGCGGUGGAAUGCGCAGAUAUCAGGAGGAACACCGGUGGCGAAGGCGGGUCUCUGGGCAGUAACUGACGCUGAGGAGCGAAAGCGUGGGGAGCGAACAGG
rnacentral:rRNA from 1 species